GGUGGAAGGAACUGACUUGAGCAUCGCAGAAGCUUCAGUUCAGUUGCUGCUGCGUUUAAACUGGGUUGCAUGGUUCCUGGGAAGGUUGAAGGACAGAAGCCCAAGGGGAUGAGAAGAUGCAGAAUAUAGGGGAUAUAGAAUAAAGAACCUCUUUAAGGCCUCACCGAAAUUCACCCAACUCAUGAAACUAAACAAAGUGUGCCUGGACCCACAACCUAAAGAGAGAGGAUCACCUACUUGAAACAUUUUGAAAAAUAAAGUUU